CCUACGGGAGACAGCAGUGGGGAAUAUUGGGCAAUGGGCGAAAGCCUGACCCAGCAACGCCGCGUGAAGGAAGAAGGCUUUCGGGUUGUAAACUUCUUUUGACAGGGAGGAGCAGAAGACGGUACCUGUCGAAUAAGCCACGGCUAACUACGUGCCAGAAGCCGCGGUAAUACGUAGGUGGCAAGCGUUGUCCGGAUUUACUGGGUGGAAAGGGCGUGUAGCCGGGCUGAUAAGUCAGAUGUGAAAUCCGGGGUCUCAACCCCCGACCGGAAUUUGAAACUGUUGGUCUGGGGUAUCGGAGAGGCAGGCGGAAGUCCUGGUGUAGCGGUGAAAUGCGUAGAUAUUAGGGGGAAAACCAGUGGCGAGGGCGGCCUGCUGGACGACAACUGACGGUGAGGCGCGAAAGCGUGGGGAGCAAACAGGAUUAGAUACCCGGGUAGU
rnacentral:rRNA from 1 species